AGUAGCUUGGCCGAGCGGUUUAAGGCGCAGGUCUUAAGAACCUGUGGAGCAAUCCUCGUGGGUUCGAAUCCCACAGCUACUA
rnacentral:tRNA from 1 species